UUCUCUGUGGUGUAACCGGCAGCACAGCAGACUCUGAAUCUGCAAGCCCUGGUUCGACCCCAGGCAGAGAAGCAA
rnacentral:tRNA from 1 species